rnacentral:rRNA from 1 species
AGCCCACGCCCGAAUGCGAAAGCAUUUGCCAAGAAUGUCUUCAUUAAUCAAGAACGAAAGUCAGAGGUUCGAAGGCGAUCAGAUACCGCCCUAGUUCUGACCGUAAACGAUACCAACUAGCGUUCCGUGGCGGUAAAUACGCCUUGGCGGGCAGCUUCCCGGAAACGAAAGUGUUUCGGUUCCGGGGGAAGUAUGGUUGCAAAGCUGAAACUUAAAGAAAUUGACGGAAGGGCACCACCAUGAGUGGAGCCUGCACCUUAAUUUGACUCAACACGGGAAAACUCACCUGGCCCGGACACCGUGAGGAUUGACAGAUUGACAGCUUUUUCUUGAUUCGGUGGUUGGUGGUGCAUGGCCGUUCUUAGUUGGUGGAGUGAUUUGUCUGGUUUAUUCCGAUAACGAGCGAGACUCUAGCCUAUUAAAUAGUCAACGAAUAAUCUAGUUCGUGUCGACUUCUUAGAGGGACAAGCGGUGUUCAGCCGCAUGAAGUUGAGCAAUAACAGGUCUGUGAUGCCCUUAGAUGUCCAGG